GUAGAUGUAGCUCAGUUGGUUAGAACAUCUGACUGUUAAUCAGGAAGUCGCAGGUUCGAAUCCUGUCAUCUACG
rnacentral:tRNA from 1 species